AAAACAACAUUGUGGUUGAGCGACCUGCACGUAGACUCCCCAUCAGGCCAUCACGUGUACCUCCACCGCUUAGCCUAUCCAUUCGUCUCCAGCGAGAUGCAUCUGUAUCCCUCUCAUCCCCAUCCACAUGUGCUUCCACAGAUAUGUGCAGUCGUUGCUUCAACGCUGCAGAGCCAGCGGGAUUUGCCGCGCUGGGAGAGCCGGCUGUCCGGCGAGCGCCAGCUGGAUUUGUGUCAAUUUUGUGGCUGCAUGCAGUUUCCACAGCAUCUCUUUCCACCGGAGCGCCCGCAGCCCGAUCUCCUCCCCUCUCCUCCGUGUAUGUGUAUCUCUCUCUCUCUCUCAUUUCCUCAUCUCUGUCAAGUAGCAUGCUUGUUCGUCCUUGCUUGCACAUGUAUGUGCUAGUCCUGUUUGACGCGUUUUUUGUGUNNNNNNNNNNNNNNNNNNNNNNNNNNNNNNNNNNNNNNNNNNNNNNNNNNNNNNNNNNNNNNNNNNNNNNNNNNNNNNNNNNNNNNNNNNNNNNNNNNNNNNNNNNNNNNNNNNNNNNNNNNNNNNNNNNNNNNNNNNNNNNNNNNNNNNNNNNNNNNNNNNNNNNNNNNNNNNNNNNNNNNNNNNNNNNNNNNNNNNNNNNNNNNNNNNNNNNNNNNNNNNNNNNNNNNNNNNNNNNNNNNNNNNNNNNNNNNNNNNNNNNNNNNNNNNNNNNNNNNNNNNNNNNNNNNNNNNNNNNNNNNNNNNNNNNNNNNNNNNNNNNNNNNNNNNNNNNNNNNNNNNNNNNNNNNNNNNNNNNNNNNNNNNNNNNAAUUAAUAAUGUUCAUUACAAAAUUUUGUGGCUGCAUGCAGUUUCCACAGCAUCUCUUUCCACCGGAGCGCCCGCAGCCCGAUCCCCUCCCCUCUCCUCCGUGUAUGUGUAUCUCUCUCUCUCUCUCAUUUCCUCAUCUCUGUCAAGUAGCAUGCUUGUUCGUCCUUGCUUGCACAUGUAUGUGCUAGUCCUGUUUGACGCGUUUUUUGUGUCUGUCUGUUUUUUUAAAAAAAAACCUAUAUUAAUUAAUUAAUAAUGUUCAUUACAAAAUUCGCCACACAGGGCGGAACACUAUUAAGAAGAAUCCCAUCAAAUUUAUUUAUAAAGCUAAACUUCGCAAUUUCAUGCGCCACCUUAUUGGCCUGCCGAUUAAUUUUUGCAAUUUUAAAAUUCUUGAGCAUCGUCAAUAUACUCAAGGCUUUUUUGUGUCUGUCUGUUUAUUCCCAAAGCAGCUGGUUGAUAUUCCAAACAAAUUCAGAACGUAUUUGAACAGGUGAGAAUCAGUCUAAGAAGGCGAGGUGGGACUAUUCAAAGCAAAUAUCCUUUCCAUUGUCAAACCGACGUGCUAGCCGAGUUGGUCGCUGCCUUAGCACAUGGCUCGUGAGGUUAUGGGCUUGAUCCCCACAGCAAGCAAUAUUUGUUGACUGUUGGCCCAUAAGAGAACGUUUCAUCUAGCCCGUAUAUAAGAGAAAAGCACGUUCGUAUGGGGCAUUGCUCUAUGGCCUAAAUUCGUCACCGACGUACCACCCUUUAUUAGUACCACCUCGGAUAUUAAAAAAACUUAUGGGUUGGAUGGACGAAAAACGUAUUAUAACAUAAGAAGAAAGCGUAUUGUGACGAUGAACCCGACAAAGUCAAUCCGUACUUUAUUAUUACUAGCACAAGAGCCCGUGCGUUACAACGGGAUAAUACUUAUCUCUCUCCCUCCAUCUCUCCCUCGGUGUUGAUGCUUUCGAUCUUCUUGAGCAAGUGUAUAGUGUUAGAGCUUGAUGCUCCUCUAGAAGGCAGCACUCAUAUUGUUGUACAUAAAUCAAUGUAAAUAAUUAAGGAGCAAAGUCAUAUAAAUUCAACCAAAAUGUUACAAAAUAAUUUAAACCAAUAUGAUAUUUCUUUUUCUUUGUGUUUCGAGAAUCCAGUGAUUUGUUGUACAUGGGGCAAAGUACAAAAUGUGCCCCCAAAAUGAUAAAUAAAGUUACGAUCAGAAUUUCUAGAGAUUAAAUUUAACUUUCUACAUCUCUUAAUUAUCGAACCAAGUCAAAAUCAAGCUCUCCAAAGUUGCUUACACCAGUAAUCUGCGCAAACAUGUGCCCAUUGUGCUCUCAAAUAAAUUCCACAAUAUCAUUUGUACACGUAUGUCCAUCUUAUAGUUCGUAUAAUCCUCUUAUAGUCAUGUUUUACAGCUUGAGGCUAACAAUUCUUUCAACCUAACAUCGUCUAUAUGCCCCUUAUGUGGUACAUUGUGCUACUGUAAAUUUUCUCUGAAAAUGUAAUGCAUUCCACUUUCACAUGGUUCGUUUAGCUAUCGCAGAUGGCCCAAUAUGGUUGAUUUAUUUUAUUAGCAUCUAGAAGUACACUAAGUCAUGAAAAUCAACAAUGUUCUUAAUCGAAGAAGAAUUGAAGAGCUAAGUACUAAAUUACUAACCUUCAGAUUCUCUGUGCCCAUAGCAUCACUGCAUGACCUCCAAAGAAGUAAGGAGUUAGCUUACAGGAGGCACACCACGACCAUCAGGUGCAGCACAUACACCACCUCAUACCAAGCAUACGCCACCGGCAUGGAUGCUCAUGCAAUCAGACCAUGAACAUACUCUGAACAUUUAUCUCAGCCUUAUCUCUAAACAUAGGUGUAACCCAGCCUACCUCAGCAUUGUGUCGUCCUCGUUAGCACAAAUAAAUUAGACUUUAUUUCUCAGAUCACUGCAUGCAACGUCACGCAUGAUGAAUCAAUCAAAAAACACCAUCUGAAAACCAAAGCAAAACAUUGUAGGAUUGGAUAAUAACUUUCUUUCACGAAUUCUAGCUGGCAUGUACUCUUCUAAAGCCUGGAGAAGAUUAACAAUGCUAACAGUCAAAUAGAACAGGAGUAAGAGAGGAGAUAGAGCAGACCGUGCAACUACACACGCAAAGAGAGGACGACAGUUCCUGCUUGAGAGUUGCGGCUUGGCAUGUUCCCCUCAGAUCAAGUCAAUGAUACAUGCAAGCAGUCGGCUGCUUCUCACUUGAGGAUCCGUUUGGCAGAGGCGGAAGCACCAGGCAAGUAGGACGCUGAGGCGUUCACUCCGGCGACACCGACACUGACAAUGUGAUCUAAUUGGCGCCGGCAAUUUGAUCCGAUUGGCGGAGUUAAAGGUAUGAAUUGGCCGCGAGUUUUCUUGGACCUCUGUGCCACUCUGCUGCUCUCUAUACUGCCUUUCACCCUGCACAUAUUUGUUUUUGUAUGUCCUUUCUGUCUCUUGAUAAGCCCUUCCAUCAAAUUUAUAUACGCCUCAGACUGCAAUUCUGUGGCCGGUGUAUUCGUCGUUCCACCGCUGCGCCAGCAACAUGAACGCCGGCACAUCCGGAAGCGGCACUGAACACGCCAAGAUCUACACAGUGGCCUUCCUUUUCCCCUGGUUUGGUUGGCUGCGCUAGGCCCAACAGCAGAAGCAUCACUGCGUCUCUCCUCAAAAUUCGCAGGAACCUUGGGUCGACCUCGAGUAUGGAUUCCCUGCCGGCGCCAUGCUACGUGAGGCCCAGCUACAGCAGUCGCUCCGCAUGGCCCUCGUCGAGAUCGUUGGCGGUGAGCAAUACGGAUUCCCGGCCGGCGCCAUGGUACAUGAGGCGGCGUGCCUCGGGUCGGCAGCCUUGCACCCGACAGAUCUUUAGGUUUAUCAAUUUGUUCCGAUUCGAUUCUAGAGAUGCGAUCUGAGGAAAUCGAGAGGAUUAAUUCAUCUUUAUGGCGAUGGCGAUUGGAUUGGUUCUCAGAGUCCGUAUGAUUCUAUUCACGAGUCGGCAGGAACACGCUAUGAACGAACGGACAAGAGUGGUGGGCUGGAUGUAAUGGGCUGACUUCAUUGGCCCAAAUAGAUCAAUAAAACAUAAGGAGCUGUUAAUUAGUACCACCUCGCCUAUAUGUCUAAAUUCAAACUGAAAGCGUAAAUUUAAGGAAAAAAAGCGUAUUGUGACGGUGAACCCAACAAAAUCAAUCCGUGCUUUAUUAUUAGGGAGAGAUUAUUAUUAUUAUUAUAUUAUUAUUAUUAUUAUUAUAUUAUUAUUAUUAUAUUAUUAUUACUAGUACAAAUGCCCGUGCGUUGCACCGGGCAAAAAAAAUUGUACCAGUGUUCAUUUCUUAUAUCCAAUUCCAAUAAACUGUCAAUUGGUUUUAUCUUUUGCUUUUCUGGAAAACACGGAUAUUUCUUUACUUUUUAAGAAACUGAACAUUUUUUUAACUUUUUAAUUAGAAUUGGAACAUGUUUUGAACCGAACAUUUUAUGAACACAUACAUUUUUUGUUUUUUUAAUGAUUUUGUGAACAAAUUAAAAUAUGAAAAAAAAUUGAAACCAAGAACAAUUAUGAACACUCAUUAACUUUAAAAAAAACUCACACUCAGUGGCAGUAACUAAAAAAUGAGUGUUGGUGUCCGGACCAUGGAGAAUAGAGUUAAGAUAUUCUACCGGGUGGAGAUGAGUGGUGUAUUUAUUUUUAGUGGGACAUACGGAUGUUGGCAUGUUCUAUACUAUUCGAGAGUUUAAUAACUAAUCUAUUUCUUUUUGGAAAUUUCAAAACAUUUGAAUGCAAACAGACUUAUACUAUGUCAAAUUUUUAUAUUUGUGAGUCUACGUUUGUACUGUGGUUUUCAAAAGAAGAUCUCCUUUAACCUUUGUAUGCCACAAUUUAAUAUGUCAUGUGUUGCACCAGAAGGAAAAAAAUCACAUGUUGUUUAGUGAUUCAUUCAUGUUGCCACUUUCCAUGUUCGCCACCGUCGUCAAAGAUGAUACAAUUUUUGGUGUCCGCGGCUGAAAAAAGUUGAUGAAUCCACAUUCAUGUCCCUCGCCGUUGCCUCAAUCAACAUCACACUAUCACCGGAUGGGAGAGUAGUGGUGCAUUGAAGUGUGAUUGUUUAUAUACACAGUUAUGUGUUAAUAUUCAUAAGCGAAAAGGGUUUUUCUAUGCUGUUUUUCUUUUUAGAAAAUGUUGGUUAUCUGGUUUGCAAAAUUAUAUUAUGUUCCUUUUCUUUUUGCACUUUUUUGGACUUGGCCAGACACAAGUUUCUCACGUAGAUUGCAGGCUCUCUCUCUACAAAAACGUGCAUGCUUUGGAGAGAGCAGAACUGCACCCACGCAUCUCUUUCUGUUCGAUAUCACAAUAAAAAGAAGAAAAUGUUUCCUAUAAGAAGAUCUUAGUGUGCCUGCAUCCAAUGGCUUGGAAAGGCGACGGAGACUACGUUAAAUCUCAAUCAACUGAAAUUUAGCGAAUCUAUUUAAAAUUAGUAGCUAAACUCAUUAAAAAAUGGGCAGCCAGUUCAAAGUACCUAGCACAAUGGCCCAUGUUACAGGCGAAAGGUGAUGAUCGACAUAUUUUUAAGAAAACUUAGUCGACACUUUUGUACAAUUACAAUAGUUCUUUUGGACAAACUAAUUGUGUCAAUGUUAACAAUACGAAUCAUAUGCAUAGCCAGCACAACUUCAUACAUAGAUCCAUUCAUCGCCCACAAUUGGUCCAAUCCAUCAUUACUGAUUUAGUUAAUCCAUUUAAUUAUGAAAGCAAGGCAACAUGCUUCUUUAGAGGAAGGUUAAUAUUUAUUACUUAACUCAGAUAAUGAAAAUACACAAAAUCUUAUAAUUACCUAUUUUCUUGAGUUUAGAUAUUGUAGCACUAAACAACAAAUUAAAUUAUUGUGACCGCAUUCAUCUUCGAGAGCACACACACAUAUAUAUGCACAAGACAUACAUCUGCAAGUGUUUCUUACCGCUCUAUCACCCUUGAGCUAAAAUUAGUGGACCUAGCAUAAAAUUUGAAAUGAGCAUAUGGCAGAACAGAGACCUAUAAAGAGUUCAUUUUGUACCUUAGAUAUGUAUAGUACAGAACAUCGGGAAAAUGCAGACUUUUAGUUAGAGAAAUAUGUAAGUUGCAAAGUAUAAUUUAAACCAAUUUAUCAAAGCUUCGUACCCAAAAGAUAGACUUGCGAGGUAUAGCGCUGAAAAUACUUGAGUAUGGGGACAACAUCCAGACUGCAUCCGAGUCAUCUCGUUUCUAGAGUACGCGCUGAAUUUGCCCAAUGCCAAUUGUGCUAUUCCCAGGUUUGGGAUCCCGCUUCAGAUUGGAAAAGACCUUCAAGGCAUCUUUGAUGACACUCAACGAAAGGCUCUUAAUUUUUAAUUAUGAAUUUGCCCGAUGCAUUUUUCUAAAAAUUAGCAAACAUGCCCGUGCGUUGCAACAUGACUUUAGAAAAUAGCUCACGGUCCUAGAUCCUAAUCCAAUAAGCAUGACUGAAGACACCCCCACCCCUGAAGUUCAAAGUCUCAAAAAGAAAAAAACAUCUAAAUAUUUGAUUCAUCGGUAUGCCCUUACAUAUCAGUUAGAAUCUAAACAGAAGAACCUCGACACAAAAACUAUUGCCAACAAAUUUCCUAGCUUUACAACAGAUUGCAAAAUAAACAUUCACAUGGAUAACAUUUCGGAUCAUGAAUAACUUAAUACAGCCAUUCCCUGGAUUUAGGUAAGAAUCAUAUCUAACGUUGUAUGGCUCGUGUGUAUCAACUACAUUUCGUGGUCUAUACAUGGUUAUUCAUAUCAAUGAAUAUUUGAAAUAUGAAUGCUAUUAAUAAGCAAUCUAAUUUGCAUAAAGGAAAAUCUUACAAAGCCACGAGAGAAUACUUUUUAAAUGUGAUAUAGAUAGGGGCUUUGGUAGCAAUAUACUGCGGUAAACAGAUGUCGUAUAUCCUAAGAUUGCAAAGUACAACUCAUGGUGGUAACAAACAUCAUUUUGAACAUCUAUGAUCACUCGAAGGAUAAUAUACUAUCUGAUUGCAACAAAUAUUUAAUAUUAUAUCUGAUUGCAGUGCUAACAAUUACAUGAGGCAAGCUUAAUGAUAAUGACAGGAACACAAACAAAGGUCAUAAAAUCCUUAUUUACAAAUGAAUGCACUACAAUGGGAUAUAUAUCAACACUAUUAGCUACAGCAACAAAUGGGGAAAAUAGCCAGGUAAAAUGUCAUAUUAGUCUGUGAAGAUGAAACAUAAUUCAGAUGUCUCACCAUAUCUUUUGGAGAUCGAAUGUACCAAACCUUAACUUCAUGUGCCAAAUCUCCCUAGAGAUCCUUCAUAGAAAUUUCUUUUUCGCUUUAUUUCGUCUCCUAAAAUAGAGCAGUAUAAGAAAGUACUGAAUAUCGCAAAUGAAUCGGAUAAGUAACUUGUUUUUUCUUUAUAUGUUCUCCUCAAUUGAUUUAGAAAAAAAAAUAACAGUUAGAUGGAAACAGUCAUUUCUUAUCCUAAGCCAUGGAUGCAUCAUGCAGGACCAAUCUGUGUAGAGUGGAGAAGAAAGCUCAUCAGCUAACAUAAAAAAAUGGAGGAACUCGUAUGACGUAUGGGGCCUACAUGUAGUAACGUAUAUCCAGUCUGAAUCUAACAUAUAAAGAUCAAAGUCUCCUCACCAUGACUCGCUGGAGUUAUGUAUGUACGUAGCGGCUGCCACUCCAUGGCCACCAGAUCCCUACCGCUGCAGCAUCAAUUCCUUGUCACCAUGAUCAAGGGUACAUAGCAGCAGCAUACAUAAGGAUAUGUACAUAUCAUGAAGCAAUUGUAAUCAGCAAGCAGCAGCCUUCUCUGUGUUCUCUGUAUAGAUGUGUAGUAACCAAGCAGCAGCAUGAACAAAAUUGCAGCAGCGGGCUGCUGCUCUCCUCUCUGAUCUCUCUCUAUAUGCAAUAGUAGUAUAGCAGAACAUCAAAAUUAGCUACCGCAGAGCAAUCUCGAAAAAAUAGUAGGAAUAUAAUUAAAAAGAUUCUAAUGUGUUUAUUUUGGCAUAUCGGAACAUUCAGUGUGUAUAUCUGAGUUCUACACCAGCUAUAAUGGCUGCCAAUCUUGGUUAAGUACUGAUCAAGUAGCAUUGGGCUGAACAAAAGCAAUAAACUUCAGUCUUUAUGUCCAGAGAAAAUUAGGAAUAAUAGUGAGCAAAGCAUAUGAACAUAUCUCAUUAUUCAAAACUUAAGUUAACAGAUCUACAAUGUGCAUCCUUGUGCACAACCCAUCUCUAAGAAAUUGUUUGGAACAUCAUUGAUAGAAAUUUAUUAGCAGAAUUUAAGCUAUAACAUUGUAGGCAAUACAAAGGAAUUCAGAUGUAAGCUGAAUCUUCCUUGAACUUUCAGGCCUGGCCACUCCGACCCAUUAGUCAUUAGUUUAAAGUUCAAAACUGAUGAUAGAAUUGGACGAUGGCGUAC
rnacentral:lncRNA from 1 species